GUGCUUGCUUCUUGUGCACAUAUAUUAAAACUUCAAUGAUACAAAGAAGAUUAGCAUGGCCCCUACCUGAGGAUGACACGCGAAUUCAUGAAGCGUUCUACAUUUAA
ensembl:snRNA U6 U6 spliceosomal RNA